CUCCAGUUUAAAUAGCAGAUACCACAAUGUGAUUUCUCUCUCUGCUUUGCAUAAUUAUAUGAUGAAUGUUGUGCUAGAGGCCAAUAGUUCCUGGUUCACAUGCACCAAGUUAUGCAAAUCCCAAAAACUUCCCAACACCUGAUAUGAGACAAUACAUUCCUGGUAGCAUUUUUACUAUACCUUAUACUGGCACACUUCACACUGAAAUAAAUCCAAGAGCAGAAAGAACUUGGCUGUGGAACCACAAAUUAACAAUAAUUCUUUGUCCCAGAAUUCUCCCAGAAAAUUUUUUUUUGCAGGAUUUUCUUUAUUUUUGCGCCUUAUUUACUUUCUUACAUACUCCUCUAUACAUGUGUAACAGUUUGGUUUUUUUAAUGAAGUAGAGCAUCUCUCCUACUGUAAUAAUUAAUGACUAUGAAACAGAGAAAUAUAUCUCAAGAAACAGUCUAAAGUUAACAAUACUGCUAUAAAAAGCCUACUGUAUUCAUAUAUAAUGAUUUCUACUGAACAAAUCUCAUAGGAGGUUUUAUAAAAUAACUGGAUGGGGGGGUGUCAUUAUUUUUCUUGUAGAAACCCUGUGUGUAGUUAUUUAGGUUUUCCUUUCCUCACUGUAGGGAUGCCUUCUUCUAGGAGACUUUUUCCCAGCAUUCAUUCUCAGGGCUGGGGGAGGUCUUUUAAAUGUGGCAGAGUAAAGCAGCUGCAAACCUUAAGCAGCCAUUUUGUAUCUAGCUACUGUCUGCUGUUUCAUCUUUUCCCAUUGGUAAAAGUCUGAAGUGAGAAAUAGUUGUCCCGGAAACAACACUUUUCCUGACAUGGACAGGUUGAGAACUCUGAAAAAAUCUUGAAACAGUUUCUUGCGCUUGCUCAUUCUCCUAGAUUGGACAAAGAAAAACCACACAUAUGCACAGUAAAAUAGAAAGUUCCUUCUGACUGAAUUUACUACAGAAAAAACUAUUUGACGAUCUUGUACAGGAAAUAAGAGUUAUGCUGCAUCUUUUUUUAAUUUAAGCAUUACACACAAAUCAAAUGUAUUUAUUAAAUCAGUGUAUAGUCAUUUUUACAAGGAAGUGUAAUUUAAAAACAGACAUAAAAGAUUUCCAAAGUAAUGAUACACAUCUCUUUGGACAAAUGUUAUUUCAGGGAUUUAUGAUAAUUCCUUUUCUCAAAGAAAAAUGAAACUAAUUGAAACAAACUUUGUACUUUAUAUUAAUGCCAUUUGAAUACAGUAUGCACUGCCAGUUAUAAAGUGACAUUGAAAGCUGAUGCUGUUCUCAACA